UCCCCACGGACCCCGAUGUCGGGGAGCGGAGUUAGUGCUGGGAACGGUGCCAAAGCAGAGAACCAAGGCGAUAAAAUAAUUACAAAUGAAAGGGAGAUUAGCAGGGACUGUCGGGACAAAUGCUUCCAAAAUGGUUCCUGAAAUCUUGGGCGGCACAUUCUCAAAGGAGACGUCGCAGCAGCUGCUGUCUCCACGGCAACGGGGCAACAGAUGCCCCGCCGGGAGCGCUCGCUGCAAAUGUCAGACACCGCCAAACACCAGGCACGGGGAAGGAGAUGACAGACUGGGUCACCUUUGCAUCAUGGAAAUGGACUGACUUCUGGAGGGGAACCGGGGUAGCUCAGAGGAGUGGAACUUCCCAACCUGGAAGUCAACUGUCUUCAGCCGUGGUAUGGGGAGACCCAGGGGAGAGGCUCACCCCAGCGUGGACCGUGUGCUCAGUAGAACAGGACAUGGCUGGGUACCUCCUGCACUGACCUCAUAGAAGCAGGCAGGAAUAACUCUGAGAGCCAUGAAUGAUAAGGUGUAAAGCCAGCGAAUCAAUUCUCCACAUUCAGUUUAGACCCAAGUCAACUUCUGCUUCUUCCAUGAAGCCUCUCAAACUCACACCACUCUCUCUCUCUCUUUUGAAUUCCUAUCACAUAUACAAG